ensembl:lncRNA
ACAUGAUUGGCUAACAACAGUAAGGAGGCACAUACAAGUAGCGUGAAACUAUUCGAUGCAUGCUUCAUGAAAGGAAGCCAUCUUAACGAAUAAUAAGUGAGGUUCACAUUAAAACUGGUUGUAAACAAACGCAGACAUGUUGGACGUACCAAAACCGGAGUUUAUUGCUCUCAAGUACAACUUUUCAUCAAAAAAUCGUAAAGCGAGUCAACAGAGUGCCCGAUUUGCGGGAAGUUCAUGUCCCACCUGAGGCAACACCUGACGGCACGUCAUAAAGUAGGAAACUUUGCGGAGAAAUGUCUGCUCAUGAACUGGUCCAGUGGACGAGGUAAACUGAGCUGCCGUGUUUGUGACAAGGUGGGCCUGUCCCGCCUGGACAAACACCUGGUGGACCUCCACCAACUUCCUCCAAAUGAGGUCGAAGAGCAGAUGCUACUGCAGCUUGUUGUGGUGAAGCUUGGGGAGCUGAGGCAACAAGGCCCACUUGCUCGAUGGUGUCUUGGUUGGAUCUACCCCGCUCAACCCCCAAGCGCUCUCCAUUGGCCCCUCCCCCACCUUCCCCAGGACCAGUUGCCACUGGAUUCCUGGCUUCCUCCCCAUCCACACCUGCCAUCCAUCCAGUCUACUCCUGCAUGUCAUGCAGUGCACUGGAGAAGAGAGUGGAAGGGUUGGAGCUAUUAGUAGGUAAUCUGCCACGGUGUCCCUGCAGCUUGAUAACAGCACAGGCCACCUCUUCAGCCACCCUUGCCAGCCCCAGCCCUGGAAACACACACAGCCAUGACACGGAGACCCCGGCCACACCAAGGUCACCCGUGUGCGCAGUGACACUGAGCACACAGCCCGAACCCGCCGUACCCUUUUCAAUGCAAUUGUUCUUGCAAGAGGACCUCCACAGUUUGUUCUAUGACCAAACCAUGUCACCCACAUCCACAGACGCAUGCAGUGUAUCACGUGAUACAACUGAUCCAAUUGGCUAACUUGUGUUCCAUUGUUGAUAUGUUCCAUUGUUUUGUUGAUAUGUUCCAUUGUUGUUAUGUUAAUAUGUUCUAUUAUUGAUAUGUUCCAAUGUUACAUUAUUAAUAAAUAAAUGUUUGAUUGUUGAC